UACGUAGGGUGCAAGCGUUAAUCGGAAUUACUGGGCGUAAAGCGUGCGCAGGCGGUUAUGCAAGACAGAUGUGAAAUCCCCGGGCUUAACCUGGGAACCGCAUUUGUGACCGCAUAGCUGGAGUACGGCAGAGGGGGAUGGAAUUCCGCGUGUAGCAGUGAAAUGCGUAGAUAUGCGGAGGAACACCGAUGGCGAAGGCAGUCCCCUGGGCCUGUACUGACGCUCAUGCACGAAAGCGUGGGGAGCGAACGGG
rnacentral:rRNA from 1 species